rnacentral:lncRNA from 1 species
CUCACUGAGGAGAGGACUCUUUGCCUCAGACCCGGACAAUCGACACUCCCGCCCGCCAUACAAACUAUUGGGACUUCCCAGGCUGAUUGUGGUGUGCAUGUUGUAAGUACCGAUUUGUUGUUUGCUUCCCCGCUCCUCGCUCUGUUCCCCUUUAUCAAUAAACUCUGCUUGCUUAAACAACCAAGUGGCCUUGGCGGUACCUGUCAUUCCUUGCCCUUCGGGGCUGCGGACAACACUAGGUAGUGGUGAAGGGGGAAAGAAGAGAAUGAAGCACUGAAUAGGGUGGCUGUGGGGCAAAGUUUGGAGGAAACACCCUCUCCCUGCCAUGUGCACCACCAGCAUUGACUGGGAAGAUGGGGCAGGCGGGUGGGGGGAAGCUGGUCAGUUUGGAAGGCUCUUUAGGGGUGUCAAAAAAUGCCCCCUUUCCUCAAUCAGAACAACUUGGUUGCUCCCCAUCCUCCCCAAGAAACAUCAUGGUGGGGCUUUGUGAUGUCUAGGCCCCACCCACGGCUACCAUUGGCUAGAGGAGAGCCUUGCUGACCAAACAAAGCUGAAGGGUGUGGCCCCUCGCUGUCCUGGAGAGGGGUAUAUAUAGGCAGGUCAGGAGGCCUGGGGUAGACCACUGGGAGGCGCUGACAUGCCGAAGGCGACCAGGAAAUCACAAGCUUCUAGCACAGUCGCGGAACAACCGUCGCCAAAGAACAAAGAGAGGAAGAUGAGGAAGUCCUCCUGUCAACCCAGGUCCGGAGGCAGUGUCAAGGCGGCCAAGAAAACCACGGGGGCCAAAAGACCCCUUCGAAGGAGAUCCACUAAAAAAGCCUCUAGAAAAUGUCCCACCUCUUCAGUCAAAUCUAAGGAAGCGAGAGGAACAACCCUAUUCGGUCACUAUCACAGGCUGAAUGAAGAGCUGAAUCAAGAUGAGCCAGAGGAGGACGGAGAGAGCAUGGAGAAGCCCAGCACUUCACGUGCCUACCUGCACCGCCGGUAACUUCAGAGCGAGGCCACAGACCUCAGAGAGGAAUCAUCUGAGAAGUCUCUGAGGUCUGGCCCCUGAGAAAUGGCCAACGGUGUUGACGUCAUUUGACAGCAGCAGGGUGCCCUGAUGGUGAUUUAAAUAAAACGGACCUGUUGUGAAAAUGUGUGUGUCUC